rnacentral:rRNA from 1 species
GAUUAUGGCUCAGGAUGAACGCUGGCGGCGUGCCUAAUACAUGCAAGUCGAACGAGGUAGCAAUACCGAGUGGCGAACGGGUGAGUAACACGUAGGUAACCUGCCCUUAAGCUUGGGAUACCCAGAGGAAACUUGGCUAAUACCGGAUAACAACAGAGAAGGCAUCUUCUUUGCUUGAAAGGCCCCUUCAAGGGUCACUUAAGGAUGGACCUGCGGCGCAUUAGCUAGUUGGUGAGAUAACAGCCCACCAAGGCGAGGAUGCGUAGCCGAACUGAGAGGUUGAUCGGCCACAUUGGAACUGAGACACGGUCCAAACUCCUACGGGAGGCAGCAGUAAGGAGUUUUCGGCAAUGGGGGAAACCCUGACCGAGCAACGCCGCGUGAGCGAUGACGGCCCUAUGGGUUGUAAAGCUCUGUUGUAAGCCAUGAAUGAUAGCUUGAGGAAAUGCAAGUUAUUUGACGACAGCUUACCAGAAAGCCACGGCUAACUACGUGCCAGCCGCUGC